GGAAAUGUAAUUGAAGAAGAAAAAAAAUGGGAGGUUGGGAACUAAAGCACUACUGGAAAAAACUGAUCAAUAUUAAUCACAAUCAGUCACUGGGUGCCUGCAUUCAAGCCUGCUAAGCAUGUUUGUCCCAUAAUUACGUUUCAAAAUUCGAAGAGCAUUCUCAUGAUACAAUCUUCUGGCUAGAAUAUGGCUAGGCUAGUAGGUUUGUAUGUGGGGAAAACUGGGCUACGCAACUCAAAGAAUUCUUACUG